AGGUGAACCUGCGGAAGGGUCAUUCACAAUGAGUGUUUAAUGGCACUUUCAAUCCAUUACCCACCUUGUGUGCAUUGUCGGGAGGACUCUUUCUCUCUCGCGAGGGAAGGGGAACUCUUAUUUACAAACUCGUGUUCUUCAGUAUCUGUCUACUACUUUUGAGUAUAUAAAACUCGAAUACAACUUUCAACAACGGAUCUCUUGGCUCUCG
rnacentral:misc_RNA from 1 species